AAUUCUCAACUAUUAUCAACUUUUGCUGAUAAUGGCUUGGAUGUGGGGGUCUAUUUUGCUGGCUUCUCAGAUAGUCAGCUCCCCUUAAAUGCAUUAGCCGGUGCCCUGGGUGGACUGUCUAUUGGUGUGAUAAUUAUCUACGCUAUAGACAUCUGCAAUCAUAUGGGUUUGCGCUGCUUCUAACAGUCUGUUGAUUCAGACAAUACAUGACA
rnacentral:misc_RNA from 1 species